GACAGAGGGGGCAAGCGUUGCUCGGAAUCACUGGGCGUAAAGGGCGCGUAGGCGGGAUGGCAAGUCAGUCGUGAAAUCUCUCGGCUCAACCGAGAAACGUCGGCUGAUACUGCCGUUCUUGAGGGAUGCAGAGGAGACUGGAAUUCCCGGUGUAGCGGUGAAAUGCGUAGAGAUGUGGAGGAACACCAGUGGCGAAGGCGACUCUUUGGCCUGUAACUGACGCUGAGGCGCGAAAGCGUGGGGAGCAAACAGG
rnacentral:rRNA from 1 species